rnacentral:rRNA from 1 species
AUUGAACGCUGGCGGCAGGCCUAACACAUGCAAGUCGAGCGGAUGAAGGGAGCUUGCUCCUGGAUUCAGCGGCGGACGGGUGAGUAAUGCCUAGGAAUCUGCCUGGUAGUGGGGGAUAACGUCCGGAAACGGGCGCUAAUACUGCAUACGUCCUGCGGGAGAAAGUGGGGGAUCUUCGGACCUCACGCUAUCAGAUGAGCCUAGGUCGGAUUAGCUAGUUGGUGGGGUAAAGGCCUACCAAGGCGACGAUCCGUAACUGGUCUGAGAGGAUGAUCAGUCACACUGGAACUGAGACACGGUCCAGACUCCUACGGGAGGCAGCAGUGGGGAAUAUUGGACAAUGGGCGAAAGCCUGAUCCAGCCAUGCCGCGUGUGUGAAGAAGGUCUUCGGAUUGUAAAGCACUUUAAGUUGGGAGGAAGGGCAGUAAGUUAAUACCUUGCUGUUUUGACGUUACCAACAGAAUAAGCACCGGCUAACUUCGUG